rnacentral:rRNA from 1 species
AGUGAACGCUGGCGGUAGGCCUAACACAUGCAAGUCGAACGGCAGCACAGUAAGAGCUUGCUCUUACGGGUGGCGAGUGGCGGACGGGUGAGGAAUACAUCGGAAUCUACUUUUUCGUGGGGGAUAACGUAGGGAAACUUACUCUAAUACCGCAUACGACCUACGGGUGAAAGCAGGGGAUCUUCGGACCUUGCGCGAUUGAAUGAGCCGAUGUCGGAUUAGCUAGUUGGCGGGGUAAAGGCCCACCAAGGCGACGAUCCGGAGCUGGUCUGAGAGGAUGAUCAGCCACACUGGAACUGAGACACGGUCCAGACUCCUACGGGAGGCAGCAGUGGGGAAUAUUGGACAAUGGGCGCAAGCCUGAUCCAGCCAUACCGCGUGGGUGAAGAAGGCCUUCGGGUUUUAAAGCCCUUUUGUUGGGAAAGAAAAGCAGCAGGUUAAUACCCCGCUGUUCUGACGGUACCCAAAGAAUAAGCACCGGCUAACUUCGUG